UACGUAGGUGGCAAGCGUUGUCCGGAUUUACUGGGCGUAAAGAGCGCGCAGGCGGUCGUUCAAGUCGCGUGUGAAAGCCCCCCGGCUCAACUGGGGAGGGUCACGCGAUACUGAUCGACUCGAAGGCAGGAGAGGGAAGUGGAAUUCCCGGUGUAGUGGUGAAAAUGCGUAGAUAUCGGGAGGAACACCAGUGGCGAAGGCGACUUCCUGGCCUGUUCUUGACGCUGAGGCGCGAAAGCUAGGGGAGCAAACGGG
rnacentral:rRNA from 1 species